UGAGUCCUACGGGGCGCAGCAGUGAGGAAUAUUGGUCAAUGGGCGCGAGCCUGAACCAGCCAAGUAGCGUGAGGGAUGACUGCCCUACGGGUUGUAAACUUCUUUUAUAAAGGAAUAAAGUGAGGCACGUGUGCCUUUUUGUAUGUACUUUAUGAAUAAGGAUCGGCUAACUUCGUGCCAGCAGCCGCGGUAAUACGGAGGAUCCGAGCGUUAUCCGGAUUUAUUGGGUUUAA
rnacentral:rRNA from 1 species